AUUGAACGCUGGCGGCAUGCCUUACACAUGCAAGUCGAACGGCAGCACGGGAGCAAUCCUGGUGGCGAGUGGCGAACGGGUGAGUAAUGUAUCGGAACGUGCCCAGUCGUGGGGGAUAACGCAGCGAAAGCUGUGCUAAUACCGCAUACGAUCUAUGGAUGAAAGCGGGGGAUCGCAAGACCUCGCGCGAUUGGAGCGGCCGAUAUCAGAUUAGGUAGUUGGUGGGGUAAAGGCCCACCAAGCCGACGAUCUGUAGCCGGUCUGAGAGGACGACCAGCCACACUGGGACUGAGACACGGCCCAGACUCCUACGGGAGGCAGCAGUGGGGAAUUUUGGACAAUGGGCGCAAGCCUGAUCCAGCAAUGCCGCGUGCAGGAUGAAGGCCUUCGGGUUGUAAACUGCUUUUGUACGGAGCGAAACGGCUUCCACUAAUACUGGGGGCUAAUGACGGUACCGUAAGAAUAAGCACCGGAUAACUACGUGCCAGCCGCCGCCGUAA
rnacentral:rRNA from 1 species